GUGGGGAAUAUUGGACAAUGGGCGAAAGCCUGAUCCAGCCAUGCCGCGUGUGUGAAGAAGGUCUUCGGAUUGUAAAGCACUUUAAGUUGGGAGGAAGGGCAGUAAGUUAAUACCUUGCUGUUUUGACGUUACCGACAGAAUAAGCACCGGCUAACUUCGUGCCAGCAGCCGCGGUAAUACGAAGGGUGCAAGCGUUAAUCGGAAUUACUGGGCGUAAGCGCGCGUAGGUGGUUUUGUAAGUUGGAGGUGAAAUCCCCGGGCUCAACCUGGGAACUGCCUCCAAAACUGCAUGACUAGAGUACGGUAGAGGGUAGUGGAAUUUCCUGUGUAGCGGUGAAAUGCGUAGAUAUAGGAAGGAACACCAGUGGCGAAGGCGACUACCUGGACUGAUACUGACACUGAGGUGCGAAAGCGUGGGGAGCAAACAGGAUUAGAAACCCUGGUAGUCC
rnacentral:rRNA from 1 species